UGAGGAAUAUUGGGCAAUGCCCGCAAGGGUGACCCAGCAACGCCGCGUGGAGGAUGAAUGUCGUAAGAUUGUAAACUCCUGUUAGAGGGGAAGAAUAGUACCGGUUGGACCGGUAUAUGACUGUACCCUCAGAGAAAGCCCCGGCUAACUACGUGCCAGCAGCCGCGGUAAUACGUAGGGGGCAAGCGUUGUCCGGAUUUACUGGGUGUAAAGGGCGCGCAGGCGGGAUAAAAAGUCAGUGGUGAAAUCCUACAGCUUAACUGUAGAACUGCCUUUGAUACUUUUAUGCUUGAGUUCGGGAGAGAGAGACGGAAUUCCAGGUGUAGUGGUGAAAUACGUAGAUAUCAGGAAGAACUCCGGUUGCGAAGGCGGUCGGUUGGUCCGACACUGACGCUGAGGCGCGAAAGCGUGGGG
rnacentral:rRNA from 1 species